rnacentral:sRNA from 1 species
UCUGAGAUUAGGGCCAGAAGCAGCCCUAAGAGGGUUCUCCCUGAGGUCCUGGGAGGUGAGUGCCCAUAGAACAGGGCUCCAUGGGAGGGCGUAGCUUAAAAACCAACUGCUAAAAAGAUUAGGCAGUUUGACUCACGGAUCCAAUCAGCCACAUCAAAGUAUGACAGGAAUGGAAAUGCAAUUAUUCAG